AGCUGCAGGCCUUGGGCAAGAUUCCUCCGACCCAAGCAGGCCUUGGGCAAGAUUCCAUCGACGGGGGAGCAGCGGGGAGAGGAACGUGAGGCCAUGGGGGAGGAAGAAGAUGGCCCCCCUCGUUCCCAAGGUUGGUCUUCGCGUGACGCUGGUUAAGGUAGUUACUUUCCUCGGAUCCAAUUUCUUUUGGUUGCCGUCAGUGUUCUUGACUAAUUUUGGAUCUCGUUUGCCUACAGAUUUUCUAUUCUUGCUCCCUAUGCGUCAGAUAUGUUGUUGUGUUCCUUGAUCUGUAAUUGCUUGUUGUUUUCAACUGUCUCAGUUUUGGUUACCUGAAGCUCAUCCCUGAUUUGCUCCUUUUCCCCUUGCAGGCUGGUCUGCUGCUGUCUGCAGGUGCUUGUGUUUCUGGGCGGUUCGUCCUGCUACCUCUUCGAUCAUCGCUCUACAGGUCAACCCAUUUUCUCCUUCACCUCUCAGCUCUAUAGCCAUGCGCUUGCGUUCUUGCGAGCGUGUGUCUUCCUUGUGUUCUUAUUGGUGGAAGUCUGGCAUCUAAGAGUGUCAUUCUCUGCUUGUAUUUUUGUGCUUUUGUCACUUAUAUGAAUCUUGGUGGAACCUACAUUUCUACCAUGUCCAGCUGAUUUGUUUGUUGGAACUGCUUGCAUGUGCCAUGUUGUUGGAGCUACCGAACAAGCCAUUGUCGUUGCAGAUAUGAUUUAUAAAGACUAUCCGUUGGACAAUAGUUGUAGUAGUUAGGUGACGACAAGAUGCAGCCAUUUGUAUAGGUUGUUUGUUUUGUUUUCUUGUUUGUGCAUGUCUUGUUCUUCAGGCUAUGAAAGUGGUCAAUGGCGUGGCAAAUAGAGUCCAUAAAAAUUGUUCGUUACCAUGCAGCUGUGGUAGAUGUGUUGUCAGGAGGGUGCAAUCUGUAUAAAACAUGGCCUCUGUCUAUGUCUUUGUCUGGUUCAUUAGUCCUGCUCUUCUUCGACCAUCCUUCGUUAGUUUAUUUGUUUCAUUUAUUAUGUGUAGAUCUAGGAGAGAUGCCUAUGAUCAUUCCUUUCCUACCAUGUGCUUGUGCUAAAUCGCAGUCAUGUAUUUUUUAGCUUUGUUUUCAUUCUUGAAUCUGUGAGCAUGGUUGUGAUAAGGUUUGUAGAUGCAGGGUUGUGUUGGCUCUCAAUGUCAUAUUUUCCCCCUAUCAACGAGGUCAUGGCUUGCAUUUCAGAUGAAUAGGUUGCUAUAUUACUAGAGUACUACUUGAUCUCUAUUAUGGUUUUACUGGAUACAAAGCAUAGUAACUAUUACAUCAUCUUAUAUAUCUUGUGUAUUGUGAUAUCUGUAUAGACACUGUCUACGUCCUCUUGACAUUCCCAGUUUUGUUUUCUAUAGCAUAUAUUUGACUCCUUUCCAUGCCUCUUGGUUCUGAAAGCGCUCUCAGAGCUCAGCGAUCAUGGGCCGUCGGAUCCGUUUGCUUGAUGCGUUUUCGGGCGUUGGAUCAAGCCGCUGGAAGAGCUGGGUCGUCGGAUAAAAAAAGGAGCUGUAGCAAUGAAUAGUUACCCCUGCUGUAAAGAUCUCGUGCCACCGCAUGUAAAUCGCGUGCCCUGCCGAGGGCAUUUUCGUAAUUUCGCGUGGUUGCAAAAGUCCCCAAUAGCGAUCGGGUGAGAUCGUGGAUAGCGAGCACCGGGUCGUCCCCCUCCCCCUCCCGCCUGCUCUCCUCUCUUCCCCUCCCCCUCCCAUGAAACCCUAGGCAUCGCGCCCGCACACCCCCUGCCGCCGCGCCGCUGCCGCCGUCGCUGGCGCUCGCCCCGGCCCCCAUCCUCCACCUGACGCCGCCCAUCGUCUCCUCCCCACCCCCUCACACCUUCCUUCCGCUCCUCCCCAUCGGGGCUGAGCAGGAGAACGAGCACCCUCCCUCGCAACUGAGUAGACGGGAGAAUAGCUCGAGCCUCGGUGUUUGGGCGUGUUGGUGAGUGCGGCGGCGGCGGAGAGCAGCAGCAACAGGCGGCACAGCUGCAUGCCUUGGGCAAGAUUCCUCCGACCCAAGCAGGCCUUGGGCAAGAUUCCAUCAACGGGGGAGCAGCGGGGAGAGGAACGUGAGGCCAUGGGGGAGGAAGAAGAUGGCCCCCUCGUUCCCAAGGUUGGUCUUCGCGUGACGCUGGUUAAGGUAGUUACUUUCCUCGGAUCCAAUUUCUUUUGGUUGCCGUCAGUGUUCUUGACUAAUUAUGGAUGUCGUUUGCCUACAGAUUUUCUAUUCUUGCUCCCUAUGCAUCAGAUAUGUUGUUGUGUUCCUUGAUCUGUAAUUGCUUGUUGUUUUCAACUGUCUCAGUUUUGGUUACCUGAAGCUCAUCCCUGAUUUGCUCCUUUUCCCCUUGCAGGUUGGUCUGCUGCUGUCUGCAGGUGCUUGUGUUUCUAGGCGGUUCGUCCUGCUGCCUCUUCGGUCAUCGCUCUACAGGUCACACUACAAGAAAUAUGCUAUCUUGUGACCUCCACUUUUGGUCACUGAAAGGUCACUGUUUUCAAUUUGUGACCUUUUUGUGACCAAAAAACGGAAGGUCAAAAGAUUUUACGACCAAUUAUUUUGGUCACUAGCAAUCCGACCACACCACGUCAGAUCCACCGUGGCAAGCUGACGUGGCAUAAUUACGACCAAAUGAAAAGGUAAUCAGCCCGGUCCAUUUCAGCCGUCUACAUGGGCCAAGCCCAAUAAUUCGGCCCGUUUAAUUUUUUCUCUCUCUUUAUUUUGCUUAUGUGUAUGGGCCUGGCCCAAUAAUUUGGCCUUUUAUUUUCUGGGAAUGGAGCCUUUUUCUGAUGAAAUUCUUUUUAUAGUCCACUAUUUUUUUGGGCCACAGCCUUUUUGGUCUAGUUCGAAUUUGGGCAUUGGCCUUUUUAUUUUCUGCUAUGCGGUCUUUUAUAAUUUUUUUCUUACAUUCAUUUCCUUUUUUAGGCCCAAGCCUUUUUGGUCUAAUUCUUGUUUGGGCCUUGGCCUUUUUAGAGCCCAAGUUCUCAUUUUGCAUAACUUCACAUAAAAUAAACAAUAAACAGAAAGGCCCAGGUGCACAAGUGAUCCACAAGCCCAGCUGCACAAGUGAUCCACAUAACUUCAUAGAAAAUAAACAAUAACUCCACAACUUCACAAGUGAUCCAUAACUUCACAGGUUCACAAGAUCACAUAACUUCACAGGUUCAAACUAGG
rnacentral:lncRNA from 1 species